rnacentral:lncRNA from 1 species
AUGCCUGGAGAGAGUUGUCAUGGCAACAGGAAUCAGGGCAUGGUAAUCCAGAGGCAGCAGUAUACUGGUUGGUGGAUAGUCUUUUUCAUCCUGAGUUCUUUUGAGUUGUCCCAGAUCCCUGCCCUGCUGGUAACAGCUAAGCCAUUCACAGUUGAUCAUCAGUCACUAUUGUUACUGUGUACAAUGUUCUCCCGGUCCUGCUCACUUCAUCUUGCAUCACUUCAGGUAAGUCCUUCCAGGUUUUUUUAUCAUCUUGUUUGCCAUUUCUUAUGGCACAAUAAUAUUCCAUUAUAAGAGCUUGUUCAGCCACUCCCCAACUGAUGGACAUCCCUUCAGAUUCCAGUUCUUUGGCACCACAAAAAGAGCUUCUCUAAUAUUUUUAUAUAAGUAGGUGUUUCCCUCUCAUCUUUGUCCUCUUUGGCAUAUAGACUUAGCACGGGUAUUGCUGGGUCAAAGAGUAUGUGCAGUUUUAUGGCCCUUUGGGUGUGGUUCCAUAUUACUUUCCAUAAUGGUUAUAUUAAUCUACAGUUCCACUGACAUUGUAUUAGUAUCCCAAUUUUUCAACAUCCCCUCCAGUACAUAUAAUGUUCCUUUUUUGUCCAAUUGGCCAGGUGUGAGGUCAGAGUCAUUUUAAUUUGCAUUUCUCUAAUCAAUCACGAUUUGGAGCAUUUUUUCAUAUAGCCAAAGAUAGUUUAAUUUCUUCACCCGAGAAUUGCCUAUUCAUAUCCUUUGACCAUUUGGCAGUUGGGGAAUGCUUUGUCUUCUUGUAAAUCUGACUCAGGUCUCUAUAUUUUUGAGAACCCAGAUAUUUCUAUUCAUUUCUCUUGUGUGUAUAUGUGUACAUGCAUGUGUAUGCACAUUUGCAUUCAUAUAGCUUAAAAUGACAGUAAGAUUAUUGGGACCUUUUGUGUAUGCAUACAUGUCCAUAUAAGCUUCAACUACAUGCCAGGACCUUUGCCACGUGCUAUGGAGCCAACUACAAAGAAUGAACCAUUUGUUGUUCACGAAGACCUUGGAUUCUGAUGGAUGGAGAAUGUCUAUUGUCUAGACUUUACAAUCAAAUGGACAACUUAUUCAGUUUUCCCAUUAUUUGUGCAUGACUGUAUCUAUGUCUAUAUCUCUGUCAUAUUUAUAUAUUAUAUCCAUCUACCUACCUACACAUAUCUUGGGCACAUACAGCAAAUGGACAAUUGAACAGGAGGAGGAAGAGGGAAAGAGAGUAGGCUGGAGUGUCUUCUGGAAUUUCCAAAGUUCUUUUAGUUAUUCCUUCUCCCUGAACUAAAAUUUUACCUUUUAAAUAACAAUAUUAUUCUGGUGGUAUUGAAUGGCUGUGAGUCAUUGACUACUAGUCAGCAGACAUUUAUUAAGCUCUUACUGUGUGCAAGAAGAUACUGAGAAAGGCAAAAGAUUGUGUCAUUUCACAAUUAAUGAAGGAGAUAACACAUAAACUACUCUGUACAAACAAGCUAUAUGCAGGAUAAAUCAGAAAUAAUCAAUAGAGAGAAGACAUUAGCAUUAAGGAGGAUUGAAAAAGGUUUCUUAUAGACAGUGAAAUUUUAGCUGAGACUUGAAGGAAGUCAGGGAAGCCAGGAGACAGAGGUGAUGAGAUAAUUCCAGGCUCUCCCUAAUGCUUAGAGUAUUUUGCUUGAAAUAUAGCAAGGAAGUCAAUGUUUCUGAAUUGCAGAGCACACAGAAGGGUAUAAGAUGUAAGAAGGCUAGAGUGAGGAUAGGUUAUAAAAGGCUUCAAAUGGAACAGAGGAUUUUAUCUUUGAUCCUGGAGGUGACAGAGAUUCACAGGAAUUUAUUGAGUAAGGAAGGUGACAUGGUCAGAACUUCACUUUAGAAAGACACUUGGAUAGCUGAGUGAGAUGGACUGGAGUGGGGAGAGACUUGUGUCAGAGGGAGAGAUCAUUUGAAGGUUCAUGGUGGGCAUGAGCAUGCAACACAUUCUAAAUAAGGAAUUAAUUGCAUUAGAGAAAAAGGAAUUUGGAUUGGUCAUGUGUUGAUAGUUGAUAGUGAAGGAAAACUAAUGAACAACUCAUGUACACCAUUGAUGUUUUUAAGAUAUCAAGGGAAAUUGCAGACACUUACUAGUAUGUUGCACGAAAUUAUGAGAGGGCAUGGAUAAGAGUCAUGAAAAUGGCCCAAAAGGGAUAGGCUGAAAUUUUAUUGCUGGGAGGAAUGCUUAAUUUGAUCCAAUUGAGUAUAGAAUAUUUACUGGCUAAUUUAUCAUUAACUAAUCAUGGUCACAGAAAUACCUUAAGGACUCUACACUGUCCUCUAGAUGUGUCCUUUGUUUUCUUGACUAUGUCUUUUGUCAUGCUGUUCCUUAUUUCCUAAAUACUUUCCCCUUCUUUGUCUAUUGAAAUCCCAUCCAAUUCAAAUGACUUCCCUUAUGGGAAACUUUCUUUGGUCUACCCUUUGUGCAGUUAGUAAUACUCUCUAUUUUCUCAGAAUUCAUUUUGAUUGUCUUUAAUUAAUUUGUUUGUUUGUUUGUUUGUUACAUUGGAAUACACAGUUAGCCCCCCCCCCCCACCUUACCUCUCUACCCCCAUUAGGGAAGGCAUCAAAAAGAUAUUGACAAAAAGAUAUAUGCAUAUAUAAAACUAUAUCUUGCAUAGUUCUUUCUCUGGAGGUGGACAUCCCUGACUUUUUUCAAACAAUACUUCCAUUGCUAUAUAUAAUGUUCUCUUGGUAUUGCUUGUUUCACUCUUUAUAAUUUCAUGUAGUUCUUCCCAUGUUUUUCCAAAAUUAACCUGUAAUCAAACAUGAAUAACAUGGAAAUAGGUUUUGAACAAUGUUACAUGUAUAACCCAGUGGCAUUGCUUGUCAGCUCCAGGAGGAGAGAGAAAAGAGGGGGUACAAUCAUGAAUCAUGUAAUCAUGGAAAAAUAUUCUAAAUAAAAAUUUAAAAAAUUAACCUGUAAUGCA